rnacentral:rRNA from 1 species
UACAGAGGGUGCGAGCGUUGUCCGGAAUCACUGGGCUUAAAGGGAGCGUAGGCGGGCUGCCAAGUCCGGGGUGAAAUCCUCCAGCUUAACUGGAGAACUGCCUCGGAUACUGGAAGUCUCGAGGAGGGUAGGGGCAAGUGGAACCGUGGGUGGAGCGGUGAAAUGCGUUGAUAUCCAUGGGAACUCCGGUGGCGAAGGCGACUUGCUGGACCCUUUCUGACGCUGAGGCUCGAAAGCCAGGGGAGCAAACGGG